rnacentral:rRNA from 1 species
AUUGAACGCUGGCGGCAGGCCUAACACAUGCAAGUCGAGCGAGAGGCGGACGGGUGAGUAAUGUCUGGGAAACUGCCUGAUGGAGGGGGGUAACUACUGGAAACGGUAGCUAAUACCGCAUACAAUAAGAUGUGCCCAGAUGGGUUGAGCUAGUAGGUGGGGUAACGGCUCACCUAGGCGACGAUCCCUAGCUGGUCUGGGAGGAUGACCAGCCACACUGGAACUGCGACACGGUCCAGACUCCUACGGGAGGCAGCAGUGGGGAAUAUUGCACAAUGGGCGCAAGCCUUAUGCAGCCAUGCCGCGUGUGUGAAGAAGGCCUUCGGGUUGUAAAGCACUUUCAGCGGGGAGGCGUUACCCGCAGAAGAAGCACCGGCUAACUCCGUGCCAGCCGCCGCGGUAAUUC